CCUACGGGAGGCAGCAGUGAGGAAUAUUGGACAAUGGGCGCAAGCCUGAUCCAGCCAUGCCGCGUGCAGGAAGACGGUCCUAUGGAUUGUAAACUGCUUUUAUACAGGAAGAAACACCUCUACGUGUAGAGACUUGACGGUACUGUAUGAAUAAGCAUCGGCUAACUCCGUGCCAGCAGCCGCGGUAAUACGGAGGAUGCAAGCGUUAUCCGGAAUCAUUGGGUUUAAAGGGUCCGUAGGCGGUUUAAUAAGUCAGUGGUGAAAGCCCAUCGCUCAACGAUGGAACGGCCAUUGAUACUGUUAAACUUGAAUUAUUAGGAAGUAACUAGAAUAUGUAGUGUAGCGGUGAAAUGCUUAGAGAUUACAUGGAAUACCAAUUGCGAAGGCAGGUUACUACUAAUAUAUUGACGCUGAUGGACGAAAGCGUGGGGAGCGAACAGGAUUAGAUACCCUGGUAGUCCACGCCGUAAACGAUGGAUACUAGCUGUUCGGAGCAGUCUGNGUGGNGUAGAGAAGUAGAGUAAGUAUACCCACCCGUCGGGGUAGGUACGGUUCGUCGAAGAAGUAGAAACGUAACGAAAGUAAAGUUAAGUACGGACGUGUAGACGUACGACCGACGGACGGACGACGACGGGGAGGGAGGGAGG
rnacentral:rRNA from 1 species